GAAAGUCUGUUGAAACAACACAACACCUUAUGAAUGCAACUCAAACGCUCUAAUUAAGCUAAGACUUC
rnacentral:tRNA from 1 species